AACGAACGCUGGCGGCAGGCCUAACACAUGCAAGUCGAGCGAGAUCUUCGGGUCUAGCGGCGGACGGGUGAGUAACGCGUGGGAAUAUGCCCUUCUCUGCGGAAUAGCCUCGGGAAACUGAGCGUAAUACCGCAUACGCCCUUUGGGGGAAAGAUUUAUCGGAGAAGGAUUAGCCCGCGUUGGAUUAGGUAGUUGGUGGGGUAAUGGCCUACCAAGCCGACGAUCCAUAGCUGGUUUGAGAGGAUGAUCAGCCACACUGGGACUGAGACACGGCCCAGACUCCUACGGGAGGCAGCAGUGGGGAAUCUUAGACAAUGGGGGCAACCCUGAUCUAGCCAUGCCGCGUGAGUGAUGAAGGCCUUAGGGUUGUAAAGCUCUUUCAGCUGGGAAGAUAAUGACGGUACCAGCAGAAGAAGCCCCGGCUAACUCCGUGCCAGCAGCCGCCGUAAUAC
rnacentral:rRNA from 1 species